rnacentral:rRNA from 1 species
UACGUAGGGUGCGAGCGUUGUCCGGAAUUAUUGGGCGUAAAGAGCUCGUAGGCGGUUUGUCACGUCUGCUGUGAAAUCCCGAGGCUCAACCUCGGGCCUGCAGUGGGUACGGGCAGACUGGAGUGCGGUAGGGGAGAAUGGAAUUCCUGGUGUAGCGGUGAAAUGCGCAGAUAUCAGGAGGAACACCGGUGGCGAAGGCGGCAUCCUGGACCGAAAUUGACGCUGAUGCGCGAAAGCCAGGGGAGCAAACGGG